CACGUAGGGUGCGAGCGUUGUCCGGAAUUAUUGGGCGUAAAGAGCUCGUAGGCAGUGUGUCGCGUCGGCCGUGAAAACCUGCAGCUUAACUGUGGGCUUGCGGUCGAUACGGGCAUCACUGGAGUUCGGCAGGGGAGACUGGAAUUCCUGGUGUAGCGGUGAAAUGCGCAGACUAUCAGGAGGAACACCGGUGGGCGAAGGCGGGGUCUCUGGGCCGUAAU
rnacentral:rRNA from 1 species